rnacentral:lncRNA from 1 species
GGUGGGAGCUGGCCUGGAGGAGAAGCAGAAAAACCAGUUGUGAUCUGGUUGAAUGGGUGACUGGGUGACUCUGAAGAGAGUGGAUAUACUUACUCUGAUGAUCCCUUCUACAGGUCUUAUUGAUGAAUAGCUCCACAGGUGGGGGUAGGGGGAUUUAGUGGGAGCAAAGAGAUUAUUCCUGGGUUUCUGGAUUAAGCAGCUGGGUGGUGCCUUUUAACAAAAAACAAAACAGGGGAGGAUGGGUGGGAAGAGUGACAAGUUUAGUUCUAAAUCCGUCAAGUUGAAGAACCUGUGAGAGAUCCUGGGAACGCUGUCCGGUAGGGAGCUAGAUAGCAGAGUCUGGAGGUCAAGAAGCAGGGUGGGGCCCACAGGCUCCCCCGAAAGUGGGUGGCCAGUGCAGCCUGGGAGGGCUGGGCUUGCUGGGCUGGGUUUGAAUGGACAGCAGGGCCCAAGCCUCGGGGAAAUCAGGGGAUUGUAGAGGAGGUAAAGGCAACAAGAAAAUUUCAAAGUAGAGAUUAGAAAGCAACCAAGAAAAGUGAGAAAGGAUGGUGACUUCUAAGUCUAGGGAGGAAUAAAACACAGUGUUAGAUGUUGUUGAAUGGCUAAUCAAAAUAAAGACUUGAUUAUUUCCUUCAGCAUAAUUCCUGGGCAGGGCACGUGGGGAUACUUCCAGUGAGAUGGGCCAUGAGUUGCUGGCUGUGGAAGCUGGGUGUUGAGCACAUGAGGUUCACUGCACUGUUCUAUUUAUGUAGAUGUAUGAAACUUCCCAUAACAAAAUUUUUUAAAUUAUUUUUCCAUAAUAAAAAUGUAGCCUUUGGAUUUAUUAUCACAGAGACCAGUGACCUCUGCAUGAAUUAGUUUCAUGAAGGCAGAAGCCAGACUGAAUGGAUUAAGCAGUGGAGGCAAGAAAGAGACAGGGUGUAAACAGAGAAGAGCAUGGGUUUGGAGGAGGAUUUUUUUUUCUUUUUCAGAGUGGAGAGACUGGAGCUUGGUUAUAUCCUGAUAUGGCUGAGCUGGGGGCAGGGAAAUGUUGAAAAAGGAAGGAGCCUAAGAAGCCUGGUUCUGAGCUCACAAAAGAAGAAUGUCCAGCUUCGUCAGGUUGUUGGAGGUUGGCCAAGGGUGCCAAAGGAAGAAAAAUUGAACAUGAGAGUUCAGCUUAUAAUGCUGCUGGUGAAACAGUUCUCGGAGUUAUGACUUAACACGCUGUGCUCUUGAAAAAUCACCCUCAAAUACAAACACAAAUAUCCCAUUCUGAAUGCAAAAGGUAAGUUCCACAACGGAUUGCUAUAAAGAAAACAUUCACUUAAAAUCCUCGUUUCAAUUCACUUUCAAUAGAAAAUUAGAAAUGAGUCUUGGCAACAAUGACAACAACAAAAAAUUGAUCCCUGAAUGAACACAAGCAUACUUAAUGAUUUCAACAAACUUUUUGAAAACCGCA